rnacentral:misc_RNA from 1 species
GUAUUGAUUGCGUGUGAUCGCAAAUAAAAUAAAAGACAUUCUACACUGCAUCAAUGUUUGUGUGAAAACGCAAGCCCCCCUCCGAACAAGCCGAAAGGGGGACCCACGCGGUGGUGCACAUAGGGGUGAGAUGGAUGGUGUGUGAGAGCACUCGGGCGUGCACGACCAAAAGGUCAGCGACAACCUGAGCGCCUCUGUAGUACGAUAAUGAUCCUUCCGCAGGUUCACCUACGGAAA